AAGCAGGGCGGACUUUGCACCCAGGACCCUGGGUCUCGGGUUUCCCCUCCGAUCUUGGAACAGCCGCCUGGCUUCCCCUUCCCGGUCGCAGAAAGGCGCGGGUUGGCGGGACGUCCCAAGAAAGAUCUGCGGCUUGCGGCCACGGCCCGGCCGGAGUCCGGGCGGCUGCUCGGGCUGCAGCCUCGGGAACGCCACCUCCCUCUGCCGAAGCUGCCCGGAGCCUCCCGGGCACUUCGUGCCGCUCCCGACGCCGGGAGCGAGCUCGCCCAUCAGACGUUCCCAGCACUGGCCGACCAGCGGGAGGACCUCCCUGCGCGCCCCGCACGCCUACUCCCGCGUGCCCCCCCACCCCCCAGCAGAGCGCAGCGCCAGGAGUACGGAA
rnacentral:lncRNA from 1 species